rnacentral:misc_RNA from 1 species
UACUAAGCCACACAUCCAAAAUCAAAUGCUCAACAGCUCUAUGCACAAAAUCUGAAUCUAGCAGUCCUCAAUUUCCUCUAGGUUGUAGGAUCCUAGUUUGCCACCAACUACUACAUGCACAUGCAUGUCAAUCUUGGCUAAAAAGAAGCACCAUAAAGCACACCCCCUUUAAAAUCCUCCUAACUAUUAAACAGCAGGCCACAAG